UAUAAAGUACAUCGAAGACAUGAAUUUUUCCAGACAUUUCUACUCGGAAUUAAAUAAAUUGGAAAAGUCACCUUGAAAAGGUGGGGUCAGUGUUACCUUAUUUCCUCUUUAUGAUGCUGGGGGGGGGGGGAUCCCAAUGUGAUUUUGAUCAGAAAGGUUGCAUUUAAAUCAUUUUAGGUAGUAUGAGACACCAUUUCCGCAUUCUCAAAAUUGCGUUGCUUUUUU